GUGUAUAAUCUCUUUCUUUGCAUUUAUGGCGGACAUUUUUGUGGUGACUGAUUACUGGACAGUUCGACUGCUAACAGCGUUUAUUGUGUGUAACAUCGUAUUCUAUGUAGGAAAACUCGUGACAGCAACUGUAAUCGUGAAGAACUUGAUCGACUGUUUAGAUGUCAACAUCAAGGCAUAAAAGAAAUGU